rnacentral:rRNA from 1 species
UACGUAGGGGGCAAGCGUUGUCCGGAAUUAUUGGGCGUAAAGAGCUCGUAGGCGGUCUGUCGCGUCUGCUGUGAAAUCCCGAGGCUCAACCUCGGGCUUGCAGUGGGUACGGGCAGGCUAGAGUGCGGUAGGGGAGAAUGGAACUCCUGGUGUAGCGGUGGAAUGCGCAGAUAUCAGGAAGAACACCGAUGGCGAAGGCAGUUCUCUGGGCCGUAACUGACGCUGAGGAGCGAAAGCGUGGGGAGCGAACAGG